UCAAAACAGCGGACUUCGGGCUUCGCUGCACCCUUGUCUUUUGCGCACCGUAUUGUUUCCUCGGCGGGCUUGCCUGCCGGUUGGACAUCAUAAAACCUCUUUGUAGUUGCAAUCAGCGUCAGAAAAACAAUAAUUAUUA
rnacentral:misc_RNA from 1 species